UACGGAGGGUGCAAGCGUUAUCCGGAUUCACUGGGUUUAAAGGGUGCGUAGGCGGAUUGGUAAGUCCGUGGUGAAAUCUCUAAGCUUAACUUGGAAACUGCCAUGGAUACUAUUAGUCUUGAAUAUUGUGGAGGUUAGCGGAAUAUGUCAUGUAGCAGUGAAAUGCAUAGAUAUGACAUAGAACACCAAUUGCGAAGGCAGCUGGCUACACAAAUAUUGACGCUGAUGCACGAAAGCGUGGGGAUCAAACAGG
rnacentral:rRNA from 1 species